rnacentral:rRNA from 1 species
UACGGGGGGGGCAAGCGUUGUUCGGAAUUACUGGGCGUAAAGGGCUCGUAGGUGGCCAACUAAGUCAGACGUGAAAUCCCUCGGCUUAACCGAGGAACUGCGUCUGAUACUGGAUGGCUUGAGUUUGGGAGAGGGAUGCGGAAUUCCAGGUGUAGCGGUGAAAUGCGUAGAUAUCUGGAGGAACACCGGUGGCGAAGGCGGCAUCCUGGACCAACACUGACACUGAGGAGCGAAAGCCAGGGGAGCAAACGGG